GACUGCCAGUCUGCAGUCUUCGACGGGUAGAUUUAAGAUAUAAAUCUACCAGUCGAAGACUGCAGACUGGCAGUC